UACGGGGGGGGCAAGCGUUGUUCGGAAUUACUGGGCGUAAAGGGCUCGUAGGUGGCCAACUAAGUCGGACGUGAAAUCCCUCGGCUUAACCGGGGAACUGCGUCUGAUACUGGAUGGCUUGAGUUCGGGAGAGGGAUGCGGAAUUCCAGGUGUAGCGGUGAAAUGCGCAGAUAUCAGGAGGAACACCGGUGGCGAAGGCGGUUCUCUGGGCAUGAUCUGACGCUGAGGAGCGAAAGUGUGGGGAGCGAACAGG
rnacentral:rRNA from 1 species